UCAUUUUAGUUUGUCUGAAACCCCGAUUUUACGGGUCAUGUUAACACUCGCAGAUAUACCUGCAAUGAUUUUGUGUGUGCUAGCUGGCCAUUUAAUAUUUCACACCGGGAUGGAUUUACGAUGUGUUGCUUCUCUGUCAGGAGCUGUGGGAGUGUUCAGACACAUACUUCUGGGCUGCUCGCUUUUAUCAAUCUACAUAAAUCAUUAAAACUCGGGGUUUAAUGAAUGCAAAUGCAGUGCCGCAGAAGGGAAGUCGGUUGGCUGGAGGCACUCUGCGAGCUGGAAUCGCUCCAUCGACCGAGACUGCUGAAAGAUGUUUCUUCAAGUUCAGUCCUCCCUGCAGCAGAGCAAACCGAAGGCUCAGUGCCAUUCACCAGAAAGGUUGACGGGAUACAGCCAGGAGCGGCUCUACCUUGGCAGCUGCCACGUCUUUCUCAUCUGAAACCAUCCUUGCACGUGCCGCUUCCUUGUUCUAAUUAACACCUUAAUCAGCUCAACGUCUCAUCGCUGAAGAAUGACUUGGCAUUUGGCAGGCUGGCAGCUAUCCGACAGUGACAGGCUGCGGCAUCUCCAGCACUCAGCAGAGGUCAGAAGUCGGCCCCUGCGGUGUCCUUGCCCCUCAGGUCCUGGGUGCACGUCACACACCAUCUCUGUAGCUACUCUCCCCGGUUAGUGGUUUUUUGUUUGUUUGUUUGUUUUUGUUUAUAAUUCUCUUUCAGGAUGGUAAGGGGAGAUGACAGGAAAGGGAUGGAAAGACUGGGAGCAUAGAAAAGCAGAGCAGAGUUAGGGCAGUGGUCCUAUCUACAGGAGCUUUCAUUUUUCCUCCUGCUCACCUAAUGCUUUAUGAAUGAGGAGCACAGGGAGCAACAGGCACUUGGCCAAGGGCGGUGACUUCUCGCACAAGUAUACACGGCCAGAGGCAGACAUACGGACAACUGUCCGUUAGAAACACCCCGUGGCAGCUUCUCAUCCCCAUCCCACGUUUCCCAUGUGCCCAGACCCCAGCCCCACCUGCAUCCAGGUCUGUCCCUGCACCGCCGUGAACCCCGCAGCGAGAAGCUGCAUCUGCACAAGUGAGCGUGCCCUGAACCUGCCAGGGCUGGAAUUUCUAUUGGUUUAUUGCUUCCAGGCAACAUUUUUUCAUCUAUAUUUAUC
rnacentral:lncRNA from 1 species